rnacentral:sRNA from 1 species
GUGCUUGUUUACAAACAGCCAAUCAAUUUUUACAAUCUUUUCGGCAAAAGAUCGUUCAAAAAGAUACAGUUAAAAGAAUUUUUAAUAGUUAUUAUUGAUCUAAUUGAUAACAAUUUCUUUGAAAAAAAAAAAAACAGAUUAUUAUCAAUUUUAUAUGAGUUGGCAAAAAAAUACAUUUGUACCGAGCAAUUACAUGUGAAAGAAGGUUUGUGCAAGGAUUUCAACUCUAUCGAUUUCAGUGGUGUUCGCCAUACGCGUCACUUUGGCCCCAAACGAUCUUAUUUUCAAAAAUGUUAUAUUUUAGUUGUUUAUAUCCUCCACCAUUGGGUGGGGAGUUUAUACUUCUUUCGUCAUUCCUUUUGUAAAACCUCGAAAUAUUGUUGUAAGACCUGAAUUCACUCAUACUCUAAUCAUCAAAUUGUCACUGUCAAUUUGUUCAGUAAACACAACAUUUUCAUCAUUGUAAAGUACACGAACGAGCAACAUCUGCCAAUCAUAAAAAUUUAGUACCGAAAUUCAGAUUCAGUUAAAGCUACUUUAAGAGCGUUAACUCCAGUGACUUAAACUCAGUGGCUAAGCUCAUUCUUGGCUUAAUGGAUUCGUCAAUAAGGAAAAUAUGUGUUAUUGGCAUAAGCGUAGAAAGGCCUAUGGGGCGACGCACCGCCAGAAUUUUAAAAGUUUCAUUGUUUUCGGCAAAAUUGUAUUCCUAUUAAAAGGGUUUUAGCCACCUCCCCCUCGCCACAGGUCAGGCGAAAAUCCAAAUGUUCUUUACGAAUCAACACUUCAUCCACAAAAAAUAACUGUUUGGUACUGUUUGCAUGCCGGCGGUGUCAUUGGGCCAUACUUCUUCCUUGACGAUGCCAAUCGUUACAUUACCGUGAACGGACAACACUAUCGCACCAUACUCACUGAUUAUUUUUGGCCUGAGUUGGAAGAUAUGGACCUGGACGACAUGUGGUUUCAACAUAACGGCGCACAGUGUCACGGCCGUGACCAAAAAUGGCUAAAGUCAAAAUAUACGUAAUGCAAAUUUUUGGAUGCAAUUUGCUAGAAAACAUUCCAAUUAAUGUAAAUGUAAA